AUUGUUCCGGGGACAUUUUUGUUAAGCACAUGCAGUAUAUGUUAGUUCCGACUUGAAGUACAUUAUUUGUUCAUAAAGACUGCUUGUUAUGUGUUAUUGUUACCGUCUUCACCUAGAUUUUGCUUAGGAGACUCUUUUUUACUGUUAGCUCUCUACUUCAUCUUAGUCCAUCCCUUGAAGCCAUACCCUCCCAGUAUGUGUGAGCCUUCCGCUAAUUGACAGAAAUGCUGGCCGGAAUUCAAGACUAUCCCACCAUGGAUCUCUCCUACCACUACCUACUAGUGGAUCGAUUUAGGGAAAUGCUGAUGUUGCAAUUCCUCCCAUCUCGAUUAUGCGAGUAACCCGUGAUUGAUACUUUGAUAGUUCCAUUUUCCACUGAUGCUGGCAGAUUGGGAUCCCAACAGUCGAACCCCACUGUGUUCAUUCUUCACCCUCCUUCCAAUGAAAUCUAUUCCAUGGAGUUCAGAGACUGGAGAAAUAAAGGAGAGACCAAUCGACCAACUUGAACAGAUCCUUUCAGAUUGAGUUCUUAUUUCAUGAGAGCAAGAUAUAACAAGCCUUACUAAAGCAAUUGCAGCUUGCACUGAGGAAAUAGAACGUCACAAAGAAAACUUACUGUCAAGGAGGCUCCAAGAGCAGCGCUGCUAGACGCUAGUAUCUGGAGUCUUGAUGCUUGCUAGUUGAGACCAUUGUCAUAUGAGUGAGCAGGAAGACAAAUUGAUUGAUGAAAAGAUGGCUAAGCUCAGCCGUGAAAAUGAGGACAUCAGUGGUGAUGAAGAUAGUGAAGAGGAGGAAGAUACAAGGAUGGGAGAGAUUGACGUGGAGAGCUCAGGAACUUGAAUUAGAGAGAAGCUACGCGUAAAGCUGAAGCUGCUGGUAAUGGUGAUUGCCCAGUUAAAAAUAAACUUGUUGCUCAUCCUGCAUAUGUUCUCAAUACUCGAGACUCUUGACAUGGGAUGAUAGGACUAUAAUUGAAGAAUUCAAGCAAGUACCCAUUUGAACUAGAAAAAACAGAAAGAAAAAGAAGAGGAGAAUGUUCGUGUCGAAACGGUGGAGUCCAUAGUGACUCUGUGUCGCGUACCUAAGGGGUAAAUUCAAUUUCGAUGGGAUUAUAUUUCCUCUUCGAAACAGGGAAGUCCGUAUCAAAUCUGUAUCAUGUACCUGGAGAGGAAUUUUCCUUUUUUAUGAGAAUUAACUCCCUAACAAAAUAGGGUUGUCCGUAAUGGAGGGUGUGUUGCAGAGCUGAGGAGAAAUUUUCUCCUCGAUGAGAAUUAAUUCACAGGCCUUAACAGGGGAGUCCGUGACAACUCUGUGUUGCGGACUUGAGGUAAAGUUUUUGAAUUUCAUUAAAAAGAUGGGUUUCAACCUGUCUUACCUUGGAAGAACCCGAUCCAUUCCCCCUUUUAACCGCCCAAAUUCCCCCACUCCCUUCAAAUUUUUCACGCAAAUUUCCCCUCCUCCUCAACCCUAACAAAAGUCUUGCUCCAAAUCUGUGACGCGGAGUUGCUUUCACCGACAAGUCUUGCUUAAUUUUAUCUUCUUCAAUACUGAAGGUAUGCUUCUAACUAGUUUCUUAUCUUCUUGGACAAAGUUGUGUGGUGAUCAACAUGUGAGUUGUGCUAAUUUCGAAUUUAUGCUUGAUUUGCUUACAAUGGGUGCAUUUAUGUUCUUAGGGAAAGGGAUUAAGUCUUGCACCUGUCAUAUGGGACCCUUGAAUGUAUACCCACAUACCUUAAUUUGUUUGAUGUUUGAGAGUGGAUUUAGCGGGUAAAUUGAGCUUGAUAUAAUUGUGCAAGGCCUUAUUUGUGUUGUGUGAAGUCUCGACUCUUGAGUAACACAAUAACACUGUCAUGAUGCCUUGAAUGAAAAUUUUCUAUGGAUAGCUUGAAAGAGAUUGGGGGUUUGACAUUCUUGUUAUUUCGAAUUCUUGAGUAGAUUCAAUUAGUUUGGCGUCAAUUGUUUGCUAAAUUUCCACCUUGAGCUAUAUAUGACUUGCUUGAACGUGUUGAAGAAAUUCGAGUACCUUCUUGUUUAGGUGACUGACGUGUUAAAAAAAUGAGUGUGGGGUGGUUUCUUGAUCACCCACGACGAGUGUUGGGAGAUUUAUGUUGGGCUGAUUAAGUGUGUUAUUGUUGGUAAGAAACAAUGUCUAGAACUCAGUGACCGGGCAAGGAGGUGGCAUCCUCACGCCACCGGAAAAGGGUCCAAGUCGGAGGCAAUGUUCCUCCUGCACUCACAGUUCCCUGUGGACAAACUCACCGUUUCGACCUAAAAGCAGUGACCAAAAAAGGGAAGAGCUGGUGGAGAAAGCACAAUGAGGCGAAAUACUUCUCUGACGUGUGCAUAGACCGCGACAGCUUGGUAAGGACUUCCCCCCAAAUCAUGCGUCGAAUUCAGGAGCUCCAUGGAGUUCAUCUUUGCCAAGCCGACUGAGUGCAACUUGCACCUUGUCCGAGAGUUCUAUGCUAAUUGUGAACUUGAGGCGAGGUCACACAUUGUCAAGGUGUGGGACACCAAUGUCACCCUCGCUCCAUUGUUGUUGAAUGAGCUAUUGCGUACCACCCUCUUGUGCUGACGGACUUAUAUUUCAAAAGUGUCUCUAUACAUUGUAAACACAAAAGAUUCAUCGUUUCUAUCAUGAAUCUUUGUUAUGUUGUUAUUAAAAGAAUAAAUAAACACAAGCCGUCUACGGAAGUCUGAAAAGUCAAUUAUUGUCUCCUUGUAUCCGUUUGUUAGUUAAAGAACUUCGACCAAAAGUGUAGUACUCCUUCAUACUACUUUGCUCGUUGCGUUAAAAA